GACGAACGCUGGCGGCGUGCUUAACACAUGCAAGUCGAACGGAAAGGCCCUGCUUUCGUGGGGUGCUCGAGUGGCGAACGGGUGAGUAACACGUGAGUAACCUGCCCUUCACUUUGGGAUAACUUCAGGAAACUGGGGCUAAUACCGGAUAGGAGCCCCUGCUGCAUGGUGGGGGUUGGAACGUCUCGGCGGUCGGGGAUGGACUCGCGGCUUAUCAGCUUGUUGGUGGGGUAGUGGCUUACCAAGGCUGUGACGGGUAGCCGGCCUGUGAGGGUGACCGGCCACAUUGGGACUGAGAUACGGCGCAGACUGCUACGGGAGGCAGCAGUGGGAAAUAUUGCACAGUGGGCGGAAGCGUGAUGCAGCGACGUCGGGUGCGGGAUGACGGCCUUCGGGUUAUAAACCGCUUUAGCCUGUGACGAAGCGGGAGUGACGGUAAUGGGUGAAGAAGCACCGGCUAACUACGUG
rnacentral:rRNA from 1 species